GAAAGUGUAGCUCAGCAGUAGAGUGCCUGACUAGUAAGUUGGCAUUCUGAGUUCAAACCCCAGUACGUUUU
rnacentral:tRNA from 1 species